rnacentral:lncRNA from 10 species
AUGCUAGAAGGGACCUCAGGGAUGAUUCCAGGCCAGAAUGUUGACGGCUCCCAACCAAAGAGAAAAAUUCAGAUUAUAGACAUGUUUUCCCAGGACAUGCACUCAUAAAUCUGUAUCAGUCACUAACAAUCUCGGGAUGAACAAGUUCACUAUUGUCGACUUUGGAAACUAGCUAGGAGCUGGAAUUCUGAUGGGGAAAUAAACAUCAUUUUAGAUCCAGGAAGUUCAGAAUGAAAAUGAAAAAGCAGAUCUAGAUGGAAUGCUUCUAGAAGGCAAAGGAAGGUGCAGUGGACA